rnacentral:rRNA from 1 species
UACGGAGGGAGCAAGCGUUACUCGGAAUUAUUGGGCGUAAAGGGCGCGUAGGCGAUUUAACAAGUCUUGUGUGAAAGCCCCGGGCUUAACUCGGGAAGUGCACAAGAAACUGUUGAAUUUGAGUUCCGGAGAGGAAGGCAGAAUUCCCGGUGUAGCGGUGAAAUGCGCAGAUAUCAGGAGGAACACCGGUGGCGAAGGCGGUUCUCUGGGCAUGUCCUGACGCUGAGGAGCGAAAGUGUGGGGAGCGAACAGG